GUGCCUAAUACAUGCAAGUCGUACGCUUCUUUUUCACCGGAGCUUGCUCCACCGGAAAAAGAAGAGUGGCGAACGGGUGAGUAACACGUGGGUAACCUGCCCAUCAGAAGGGGAUAACACUUGGAAACAGGUGCUAAUACCGUAUAACAAUCGAAACCGCAUGGUUUUGAUUUGAAAGGCGCUUUCGGGUGUCGCUGAUGGAUGGACCCGCGGUGCAUUAGCUAGUUGGUGAGGUAACGGCUCACCAAGGCCACGAUGCAUAGCCGACCUGAGAGGGUGAUCGGCCACAUUGGGACUGAGACACGGCCCAAACUCCUACGGGAGGCAGCAGUAGGGAAUCUUCGGCAAUGGACGAAAGUCUGACGGAGCAACGCCGCGUGAGUGAAGAAGGUUUUCGGAUCGUAAAACUCUGUUGUUAGAGAAAAAAAGGAUGAGAGUAACUGUUCCCCCCUCGCCGGUAUCUAACCAGAAGCCACGGCUAACUACGUGCC
rnacentral:rRNA from 1 species